CAAAAUCAGGAAACUAAUUCCCCCUUUUCUCCCCUCUCCCUUCCCACCUCCUCCCUCUUCUUUCUUUAUCACCCACCCAUUCUUCCCUGUACACAUUUGCUCCCCACUUUCCUGCCCUUCCCGCCCUCUGCCAGGGAGAGAUGAUAGACCGCAUAGAGUACAAUGUGGAGCACUCGGUAGACUAUGUGGAGAGGGCCGUUUCAGACACAAAGAAGGCAGUUAAAUACCAGAGUAAAGCUCGGAGGAAGAAAAUAAUCAUUAUUAUAUGCUGUGUGAUUCUGGGAAUUAUCAUUGCGUCAGCUGUGGGAGGUACCCUGGCAUAAACCUGUGCCGCCACCACACACACACACACACACACACACACA